rnacentral:rRNA from 14 species
AUGGAGAGUUUGAUCCUGGCUCAGGAUGAACGCUGGCGGUAUGCUUAACACAUGCAAGUCGAACGAAUUAAUGGGCAACUAUUAGUUAGUGGCGGACGGGUGAGUAACGCGUAAGAAUCUACCUUUUGGAGAGGGAUAACAUCGGGAAACUGAUGCUAAUACCUCAUAGUACUGAGGAGUUAAAGCAGCGAAAGCUGGCCAAAAGAGGAGCUUGCGUCUGAUUAGCUUGUUGGUGGGGGUAAAAGCCUCCCAAGGCCACGAUCAGUAGCUGGUUUGAGAGGAUGAUCAGCCACACUGGGACUGAGACACGGCCCAGACUCCUACGGGAGGCAGCAGUGAGGAAUUUUCCGCAAUGGGCGAAAGCCUGACGGAGCAAUACCGCGUGGAUGAAGAAGGCCUGUGGGUCGUAAAAUCCUUUUCUCAGGGAAGAACAAAUGACGGUACCUGAGGAAUAAGCUCCGGCUAACCCUGUGCCAGCAGCCGCGGUAAUACAGGGGGAGCAAGCGUUAUCCGGAAUGAUUGGGCGUAAAGCGUCUGUAGGUGGUCUAAAAAGUCUACUGUCAAAUACCAAGGCUUAACCUUGGGCAGGCAGUAGAGGACUUUUAGACUUGAGUGCGGUAGAGGUAGAGGGAAUCCCUAGCGUAACAGUGAAAUGUGUAGAUUUUAGGGAGAACACCAGCGGCGAAGGCGCUCUACUGGGCCGAGACUGACACUGAGAGACGAAAGCUAAGGGAGAGAAUAGGAUUAGAUACCCUAGUAUUCUUAGCCGUAAACGAUGGAAACUAAGUGCUGCCGAAUGCAGUGCUGCAGCUAACGCGUGCAGCACA